GGCAAGCACGACGCGGGAGGGGACACGAGCGCGCGGGGAGAGCGCGGCCACCCGAAGGUGAGGGACGGGGGAGGCGCGGCGGGAGGGCGCCCGCGGCGGUCUGCGCGGCUGGGCGACGGGCAGAGCGGACCCUCCCGCGGGCACCCGCCCCCGGGCCCGAGGGGCUCCCGGCCUAGAAGUCCUCGUCCUCCACCCAUCCAAAGACCCGCUUCAUCUCGGCCAGGAAGCCCCGGUAAUCGUUGAGGAGGGGGCUCUGCUUCCUGAUGUAGGGGAUCACCCACUGCAGGGCCGGCCCGGUGAGGCGGGUGAUGAGGAACGUCACCUUCAGGCUGUCGUUGGAGAACAGGGUCUCGUCCACGAGCAUGUAGGCGCCCGUCUGCACGAUAAACUCCGGGAGCCGGUCGGUGUCGCCGUCAAACGUCUCGGGGAAGGGGAUCGGGUUCCUCCACCGACGCGUCUGGGGCCGGAUGGUGUAUCCUUUGCAAACCCUCGGACCUGGACACCGUUUGGUGCGCUUCUGUGGGCACAUUCCCCUACUGAUUCAUGCAUCUGUCAACUGAAGUAUCACGCCGCUGGUUGUAGGCCCUUUCAGCUGUGCUCUCUUCCUGAAGCCAUCUGUCGUGUCAACUAGUCAUGGAUAAAGAAGCCUCUGAGGUCAGUCCCAGCCCACCUACAGUGACCAUCAAGAAGAAAGAUAAAUGUGCAAGAUCCGAAAAGUUCUCCAAAAAUGUUCUGAUCUUUUUACUGGGGAGGCAGCUGGGGAGGCACAGGAGUGACGUGGACCUGUCAAAGUGGCUGUGGAUGCUGACAUGAGCUGCCCCAGGGUGGAGCUGGCCAUGGCCAGAGUCCUAAAACCUACCUGCUCAUGCCUGUCUGUAACUUUAGAAAAAAAUAAAAACAAGUAACAAACUCC
rnacentral:lncRNA from 1 species